rnacentral:lncRNA from 1 species
AAACCACAACCAUCUGUGAAUGUAACUACAAAGAAGAAAUCCAUUAAAAAGUAGGUUUAUUUUACAUUUUGCUUAUGUUGGUAUACUAGUACUUCUUUGAAGUUUGUAGUUGAUGCUAUGACAGAAAUUUGUAUUUCCUUCCCUUCCCCCUCAUUGCUGUUAAAAUACAAUGUACUUUACUUAGAGUUCAACAAUAUUUUGUUUUCUUUUGGACAUUGCUCAUCUCGGUGCACAUUUACCUUGAUGCCUGUUUUUUUGUCUCUUGUUUUCUGUCUGAUAUUGACAUUUUAUAUUGAAGUUGCGUUUGAGUGUCCGACAUUGUGUCUACAAGUCUUCCUACCUCAUUGCUGUUAAAAUACAAUGUACUUUACUUAGAGUUCAACAAUAUUUUGUUUUCUUUUGGACAUUGCUCAUCUCGGUGCACAUUUACCUUGAUGCCUGUUUUUUUGUCUCUUGUUUUCUGUCUGAUAUUGACAUUUUAUAUUGAAGUUGCGUUUGAGUGUCCGACAUUGUGUCUACAAGUCUUCCUACCUCAUUGCUGUUAAAAUACAAUGUACUUUACUUAGAGUUCAACAAUAUUUUGUUUUCUUUUGGACAUUGCUCGUCUCGGUGCACAUUUACCUUGAUGCCUGUUUUUUUGUCUCUUGUUUUCUGUCUGAUACUGACAUUUUAUAUUGAAGUUGCGUUUGAGUGUCCGACAUUGUGUCUACAAGUCUUCCUACCUUGUUUUAAUCUCUUUUAGAUAUUGAUAAUACAAUGGUGCACACCAACAUUUGUCUUCUGAUUCUUUUGGUGUCCAAAUUCAAUCCCUAGCAUAACUUA